ensembl:snRNA U2 U2 spliceosomal RNA
AUUGCUUCUCGGCCUUUUGGCUAAGAUCAAGUGUAGAAACCAGUGCUAGCUUGAGUAACAUUAAAUCAAAUAAGAUAUGGAAGAUGAAAACUUUUACAAGUUAAAUUUACUUAUAUAUAUGUAAGGCUCAUUCCCC